UACGUAGGGGGCGAGCGUUAUCCGGAAUUACUGGGCGUAAAGCGCACGCAGGCGGUUCGCCAAGUUUGGUGUGACAGUUGUCGGCUCAACCGACAAAGGACUUCAAAAACUGGUGAACUUGAGGACGAGAGAGGAACAUGGAACUCCAGGUGUAGUAGUGAAAUGCGUAGAUAUCUGGAAGAAAACCAAUGGCGAAGGCAAUGUUCUGGCUCGUUUCUGACGCUCAGGUGCGAAAGCCAGGGGAGCGAACGGG
rnacentral:rRNA from 1 species